CUACCGCUACUUUAAUAUUUCACACUUCCCCCAAGGUUAUCCAAAAAUAUAAUACUAGUACUAGUUAAAAAGAAAAAUUCAAUUAGUGAGUGAUGACCCAUCUCUAAUUGUUCCUUAAUUACAAGUUCACAACAUCAAAAACUCCCCCCAAGAAUUAAGGAGCUGGCGCGUGUACCCACGCGAUAUCAAACGCGUCCGUAAUUCAACAAAACUCUACGAGAUGCGUACGUUAGCCCAACCACCGUCAAGGCUACUCUACGCUUUCUCAUUUCUAAGCCGCCGCUGAUUAAAACGACAAAAAGGACACAACGGUAAUUAAAAAAAGAGUCUGUUUACCUGGGAUAA